AUACAUCACUUUGCUUACGGGCAAUCUGGCCCCCGGAAGCAAAUUAUACACUUUUCUCGCUAAAAUACCAAUUGCCAAUUGUAUUUCCCUUUAAAAAAACGUUAAUAUAUUGCAAGAUUUUUUUGUUAUCAAUCCCCUUUUAAUACAAAUGUCUAACUACGAUGUGGCCCGUGACAAAAAUGAGUUUGACACCCCAGUUGCAGUCACCCUGUGCCCUGACUCAUUUGGCGAUCAGUCCAAGUUGGGGCGCCCUUCUGCUCCCCGUGACCCGGAACGGCAAAAAAUGGUGUCCAAAAUGGGAGGAAUGGAGGAAAAACAAACUUCAAAUCCAAGUCUUCGAAAGAAGGAAAAGGGCUGGCAAUGUUCCUCGAUGACUCGACUUCGAUGAAUGUGACGGCGCGCUGACUCAGUGAGGAAAGGAAACGAGAAGAUACUCCCAGAGCUGAAAGUUCACCCGCAGUGGCUUCAACAAUCAUCUCAGUCCAAAGAGAGAGAGAGGCAGCCUUCACAAAACAUUCGCUGCCAACACUGGUACGUUCCGGGUUUUGCGGCAUUUGCUUCAUUUGUCGUACGACGAGCAUUUGAAAGCGGAUUGAAAGGAUCAACGCAGCCCCUCUGAGGCUCUACCGGCCUUGGCUGAAUUUUUUUUUUUUUUUUUUGAUAAUAACACCUCCCAAAGUAAAAAACAAAACAAAAAAAAAAACAAUCCCGUAUACAUCUGGUUUAACCAUAUAACAAGAGAAGA